rnacentral:rRNA from 1 species
AGAGUUUGAUCAUGGCUCAGGAUGAACGCUAGCGAUAGGCCUAACACAUGCAAGUCGAGGGGCAGCACAUGAAGUAGCAAUACGGAUGGUGGCGACCGGCGCACGGGUGAGUAACGCGUAUGCAACCUGCCUACAACAGGGGAAUAACCCGUUGAAAGACGGACUAAUACCCCAUAACACAGGGAUCCCGCAUGGGAAUAUUUGUUAAAGAUUUAUCGGUUGUAGAUGGGCAUGCGUUCCAUUAGCUUGUUGGUGAGGUAACGGCUCACCAAGGCAACGAUGGAUAGGGGAACUGAGAGGUUUAUCCCCCACACUGGUACUGAGACACGGACCAGACUCCUACGGGAGGCAGCAGUGAGGAAUAUUGGUCAAUGGACGCAAGUCUGAACCAGCCACGUCGCGUGAAGGAAGACGGCCCUACGGGUUGUAAACUUCUUUUGUAAGGGAAUAAAGUGUAGUACGUGUACUAUUUUGCAUGUACCUUACGAAUAAGGAUCGGCUAACUCCGUGCCAGCAGCCGCGGUAAUACGGAGGAUCCGAGCGUUAUCCGGAUUUAUUGGGUUUAAAGGGUGCGCAGGCGGGAGAUUAAGUCGGCGGUGAAAUUUUGCAGCUCAACUGUAAAAGUGCCUUCGAAACUGGUUUCCUUGAGUGUGGAUGAAGUAGGCGGAAUUUGUGGUGUAGCGGUGAAAUGCAUAGAUAUCACGAGGAACUCCGAUUGCGCAGGCAGCUUACUAAACCAUAACUGACGCUCAGGCACGAAGGCGUGGGGAUCAAACAGGAUUAGAUACCCUGGUAGUC